UUGUACAGCAACUGGUAGUGAUCGUAGGCAACUUCACAGUUUCCAGCCUAGAAAAACACAUGCAAAUGAAUUGCACGAUAUCCUGAAUUGCGCCCACAUGGCCUUGUUGCUCCCGGCACCAUCACUGACGACUGCUAUCACUACUGCAUUUUGCUUGAAAAGUUCGAGAACAGCCUCAAGCACAAGCCUGGCAAGGACAUCACCUGGUGCAGCUCCCUUGCUGGCGAAGCUGGCGAUUGGCUGUACCCAGUUACUGAAUAAAGGCACAUACAUGAACACAA